UACACGAGCAAUAGUGAUACGUUCAAAGAGAGUUUGGAUUCCAGGCUGAAUUUCACAUCUAGCUCUGUCCCCUUGACGAUCCAGAGGUUGCAGCUGUCUGACUCUGCUGUGUACUACUGUGCUCUGAGGCCCAAUGUGACAACAAGAGAUUCAGACACUGUACAACUCAGGUUAGAGUGUUCAGACAAUUUCAAAAGCUGACGAUACACAGAAAGAAUAGGAGACAAGGAUUUCAUCAUCUCAUCAUUGUCUAGUUACAUCAGAGUGGUAUUACUCUUCUCCCACUGAUCUCACAGUAGCAGACAUGGAACCCUGGCUGAGGAAUGUACUGAUUCUUACUGCAUUUUGUUAUGAAUGCAGAGGAGAAGAUUCAGUCAUUCAGCCACCAGGAGAUGUGAUCGCUACUGAGGGAGAACAGGUCACACUGGACUGUCAAUUUGACGCAGGUGAUACUAGAAAUCUCAACCUGUUCUGGUACAAGCAUGAAGUAAAUGGCUUCCCAAAGUUCAUGUUGGGCCGUUUUCCUUUUGGAAGUAAAAAUGCCACCGAGUUCAAGGAUAGAUUUGAUGCCCAUCUCGAUGCAGACUCCAAGUCAGUCCCCUUGACGAUCCAGAGGGUGCAGCUGUCUGACUCUGCUGUGUACUACUGUGCUCUGAGGCCCACUGUGACAACAGGAUAU